rnacentral:lncRNA from 1 species
CAUCAAUUUCUUUUGAGAUUUUAAACAAAUUUCUUGCCAUCUUAUCAGAUUGCAAUGUAGUCCUAUUUUUAGGGGACGUUUGGUUCGUAACCAGAACCAAAAUGAGAAUGGAAAUGGGAAUAGCUUGGAAUCGAAAUCGGAAUGGCCAAAUCCUCCAAAGUAUUUGGUUUGUGACCGGAAUCGGAAUUGAAAUGAAAAAUUGAAUCCAUAAAG